CAUGAAAUUGGUUAAUUGUCUUGUCCCAAAGGCCACGCUCUUCCAAGUUCGUUCAUGGUGAUGUAUUCUAAAUUAUGAAAAUCUCUGGAUGUAUAUUUUAGAGGCUCAGACCAAUAUUUUUUAAGUAGAAGAAAAUAGAAAUCUAGAGAUAUGGAUAGAUAGAUAAUUUGUACUUUUUAGAAAAUAGAUUGGACCUUCAGACAGCAUUUUUGUUGUAAUUUAUUUUAUGGUGAAAAUUUUAUACACAAAAUAUAUGGUUCAAGUUGGAAUUUAAGGAAUUCCUAGAUUGAGCCAUUUGAAAGUGGAAAAGAAAAUUAAAUACAUAUUAUUUUUUGUGAUAUUUUCCUAAAUUGAUUUUAUUAUAUAUAAUAUAACCUUGCUUGUAUCCUAUCUGAAUGUACUAAAAUGGUCUAAAGUUUUUCAUCAUAUGAAGCUUUUACAAUUACAUGUGUUUAUGCAUGCUUUCAUUUACAUGCAUAUUUCUCCAUCAGAUAUAAAAAUUUGUGGUAUGCAUAUGC
rnacentral:lncRNA from 1 species